ACGGAGGGUGCAAGCGUUGUUCGGAAUUACUGGGCGUAAAGGGCGCGUAGGCGGUAAUAUAAGUCAAAUGUGAAAUCCUCCAGCUUAACUGGAGAACAGCAUCUGAAACUGUGUAACUAGAGUACAGGAGAGGGAAACGGAAUUCCCGGUGUAGAGGUGAAAUUCGUAGAUAUCGGGAGGAACACCAGUGGCGAAGGCGGUUUCCUGGCCUGAUACUGACGCUGAGGCGCGAAAGCGUGGGGAGCAAACAG
rnacentral:rRNA from 1 species